rnacentral:lncRNA from 1 species
UUGGCCUGUGGAUCAUGAUCUAGCUCUCAGAGCUACAGCUCUAACACCUGCCUACCUGCUGCCAUGUCCUCCAUCAUGUUAAAAUGGACUCAACCUCUGAAACUCUAAGGAGACAGAGGAAGGAGUCCACAGAGGCAUCACCAAGUUUCCUGGGAAACAGUAGGUCACACAUCUCCUGGAACUGCUUCUAGAAGACCUGACUCAGAUGGGAAUCUCACCCACGUGUGUGGAGGCACCACCCCAAUUUGCACACAAGAGCCAUCUGCUUACUUAGUCUGGUCAUCUUGAACUUAACUCGUCCCUCAACUGCCUGAAGGAAGGCAGAGACCUCAGACAGACCGCCCUCAAGGAUGCAUUCAAGG